UACGUAGGGGGCAAGCGUUGUCCGGAAUCAUUGGGCGUAAAGCGCGUGUAGGCGGUUCGAUAAGUCUGCGGUGAAAGUCCAGGGCUCAACCCUGGGAUGCCGGUGGAUACUGUCGGGCUAGAGUGCGGAAGAGGCGAGUGGAAUUCCUGGUGUAGCGGUGAAAUGCGCAGAUAUCAGGAGGAACACCAAUUGCGAAGGCAGCUCGCUGGGACGUUACUGACGCUGAGACGCGAAAGCGUGGGGAGCAAACAGG
rnacentral:rRNA from 1 species